AUCCAAAUUCCAGGAGGGUAAACUUUCAACACCACGUCAUACUUCAGCAAAUUUACACAGAUAUUAUAUUGCGUCCCUUUCCUUCCCCCCCCCCCUCCCCUCCUCUUCCCCCCCCCACCCCCCCGCUUCUCCUUUUGAGCCAUUGUGCUUAACUGAAUUUUAUAAAGCUGAUCGAUAUCUUGGUAAAAUAUUCAUUUUUAAACUAGCGGCCAGCGAAAUCUUUGCUUUGUGCUAAAGUCAACAGCCGCCCGCUUGCGGCUCCCAUAAAUGCGGGGAUGCUCCCGGCUCCCGCAGAGCGGGCGCGGCGGCGCGGGGCGCAGAAAUAGUCCUAAUCCUAUAUUUCGGCCGGGGAAAGUCCGCUUCUGCUCCACACUAGAUUAAUCCAGAAACCACAUAAAACCAGCACGGGGGAUCAGUGUCAAGGACGGAUGGGGCCAACCUCUGAGCUGUGCUGAGCGUGCUGCUGCCGUGUGUGCAUCCCCUAUGAAACCCCAGAUCCCCAUCUCUGAUUGCCUCUUUGUGUCUGUACUUGUGUGCAAUACCUGCGUUACGCUUCAGUAGACUCGGGAGCGGACAGAAGUGCUAUCUCUGCCUCGAGGAUAUUUGAGAAGAUGCUUCUCCGGGAUGGAUCCUUUUAGGAAAAAAUAAAUCGUUAAAACACUCCGGGAAAGCUGAAGAAUGAAUGAAUUUGUGGAGCUUUCUGAGGGAUGCACAUCCGUGCCAUCCUAAGGGUGAACACUCAUCCCACCCUGCAGGACCCCAGCAAUUGCCAUCCAGCACUGAGCCAUGCUACGGCGCUCUGGUCCUCCAGCACAUCCCUCCCUUUGCUGUUGCUCUGCACUACUGCAAAAUUACAGACUGGAGAUGGGGGGCUGAAAGCAGCAGCUCUGCUUCAGGGUGGCAGUGGGACGGGGCAGAAGGUGAGGCUGAUACUGCAAGAGGUUGCCAGGACUUUCUGUUCCCUCCGGGUCCAAUCUGAGGCGUCAUUAGCAAACUAAUAAACUGGCUGCAGAUGUUGAGCCAACAGCAGGCACGUUCCUCAGGAGCAUCCCUGCUAACUCUUGGCUUUGGGAAGCAAUCAGCUCAUCCCUGUGUUUCUCUUUGUGCCCACUCUCUGCCCCACUUCUUCCCUCCUGCCUGGAAUUUUAGGAGAAAAGAAGAAAAAAUAGAAACAGGAAACAAAGCGGGAGCUUCCUCAAAUCAAUUUUUUCAAGUUGAUUUAUUUUCUUUAUAUUGCAGUGGAUGGAGCUCUGUGGCCUUACUGUUUCUCUCGGAAAAUAGAAGUAUUUGUGCCAGUCACAGCAGUGCCAGCACAGAGGUGGCUCUGGCAAUUGGCAAACACCAAUGCCAUACCCAUACCCCGCUGACCCCACCAGAUCCCUCGUGGCCGAAUGGUGUGGGUACGGCAGUAGCGAUGCUGGAGGAGGCAGGCGCUGCCCUGCAUGGGGCCGGAUCUGGGUCCUUGGGGGCAGGAAUACACCAGGGCUGGAGUUUCAUGGGGAAUAGGAAUCCGCCGUGCCCAGGUGGGGCUGCGGCUUCUAAAGUGCCUCUUAAGCUUUCCUGUAUCCUGCUAGCGAGGGAAAAAACUCACAAGGGGAUCCUGCCUGUUCACCUAGCCCUGAAGGGAGAAAAGAGAGGGAUCCCCGAGGCUGGGAGGGCUGCUCUACCCCAAAGCCCAUCUCCAGGCAGGGGGCCGAGGGAGAGGCAUCCUGCUCGCUUCUUUCUGCCUCUAGCUCUGCUUUUUGUGCUGCCCCAGGUAGCGGCCCCAGCGCAUCCCCUGCCGCGGCAGCGCUGUGCUGCACGGAGCAGCACAUUUCCCCCGAGUUACUUAUUAACCACCGUUCGUUUGACAGGAUCGAUAUUUCAAGCUAGGGAGUAAACACUUAAGAAGUAAUGCUCCUCUCUGCUCUCUUUUUCCUCGGCAAAAUGAUUUAUUUUAUAAAAUGCAUCUGCCUGGCAGGGAGGCUGGAGCCCCGUGGCUUUUAUCCGCGGGAUAUGCAAAGCGCAUUUAUUUCGUCUUUUAUCUCUCAUAUUGCGCGUUGAUCCCAUACAUAUAGAUUGAUUUUGUUCAGGUAGAUAAUGAAAAGUCAAGUGGAAAAUUUACACAAAGGCACUCAGGAUCUCCACUUUCUAUUGGUAUAUAAAUUGGUUUAUUACUUCAUUCCCUUAAACAGCGACUUUCACGCUGGGGAACACUUUAAAAUAUAUCAUGUUUAAACACAGAACCAUUUACCUUCCGUGUGGUUUCUCUCUUUCCAUCGGUAAUUUCCUCGCCACUUUUGCUAAUUACCGAAGAUAUUUGUGUUUAAACAAGGGCCCCACCAGCAGCAAUCCGUCUCCCUCCUCCUCCUGCUCCCAGCAUCAAACCACCCCAACCAGAGCUCCCGGCGCUGGGCACGGGGAUGGUGACAAAGCCUGGCAGCGGGCUCUAAUUCCCCGUAAGCAGCUUUGGCUUCGCCACCCCAAGGCAGUGAAUGGAGGGCACUGGACGGGAGAGCGCAGCUCGGAACAAAACCGGCAGGAAACGUUAUUAAUAAACAUCUUCUGGACAUUUGGUGGCUCAUCUAGGCUGCUCCAGCUUAAAGCAAUUAAUUCAGGAUACUGACAUAAACUCUCCAGCUCUUUGACAGCUUGGAGCUGAAAUAAAAAUGCUAGUUCUCCAGGGAAAAGGAGAGGAUAGUUGGCUCUUUUCUGGACUGUUUGCUUAUAGGCCCAGAGAGCAAUCUUCCUUGCAGAAUGAAAUGCAAGGACACAAACAAUGUACCGGAGAGAGAAUAGAAGAUGGGAAUGAACAGUUUGAACUAUUUGCUCAGCAGAAGGGCAGCCACAAUGCUCAACCAAUGGCUUUCCCAUGCAUCAACCGGGCUUCUUAGGCCCUUUUGUUGUUCAUCCUCUUCCUCUGACCAGAUAAGAGCACAGCUGCACGGCCGUCGACUUAGCCACGCAAAUCUGGUGCCGCGCGGAGCCGCGUCCCUGCGGAGCUCGAGGACAAGGUGACACCGGGCAGCGGCACAUCCAGCAACCCCCGCAUUCAGUGCCACCUCCCCACAGCCAGGCUGCUGACCCCUGCCCUCCCCUUGCCCCCUUCCUGCCUCCGUUGCCCAUUGCCCAGGUGGUGCUAUGCUGCUCCGACCCAAACGCCAGCUCCAACCGUGAUGCUACACCGCUUCGUGCCGCCCCAGGCUGGGAUUCGGUGAGCAAGGCUGGAACAAGGUUUGUUUAGCUUGAAAGGGUUUGACGAGGUGAAAAGGCAAAGCGCCGAGGACUAAAGAAAACGCCUGCCUGGCUGAGAUCACACGGAGCACUCGUCGUCAAAGAGCACACCUGCAGGAAGCACCGAGUUUAAACACUGCUGUCACAAAAACCUGAGAAACCUCCGGGUAUUUCAUUGUGGGCUUUUUUUUUUGUCUCUUUUCCCCCUUCUCCCCUACUGGGUGGUCAGGAGAGCAGGAGGGCUCCCAUUGUCUGCAGAGCUGACCCCACGUGUCCCUGCCAUGCCAGCACCUGGCCGACACCGCAACGCCCCAAUCCAGCCCCAAUCUCCAGCCCAGCGCCCGGCAUUGGGCUGCUUAAUGAGACCCUAACGAGGUGCUCAGCCUUCAUUUCCAAAACGCUGCGACGCAGACAAAGGGAAAGUGCAGUCAGCUCCGAGUAAUUUGUGCCGCGCUCCCGGCGAAUGAAUUUAGGGGAGCAAAUAUCGUUAUGCGGGAUUUAAAUUAAAGUUGACACUAAUGUAAAUACGGCAAUGCAACCGGCUGUUUAAGAAGUGUGAUGAGGGUACAGUUUUAAUCAGGUCCUUUUAACUCAGGUGGCAUUUUAAAUCCUCGCCGGUUCAUUUGGAUAACAGUCCCAGAGGAUGUCCUGGAGUGGGAUGGUGAGGGAUGGUUGUCCCGGGAGCUCACCUGGUGAGCAGUGAAUGCAGUGUUGGACGCUGCAGAUGGAUGGACCCCCCCUGCCAAGGGCUGGGUAACAAAGGCAGAGGCGGCAGCUAAAAGGGUUGGUAAUAAAUUCUUGCGGGGUCGGUCAGCGCCUGCCAGAUUUCCCCUGGCGCUCUUGAACAAUCUGCUUCCAGCCUAAAUCAUAGAGCUGAGGCUUGGGGGAAAAAGGGAAAAAAGAAAAAAAAAAAAAAAGAGGAAAGAGCGGAGACCGCCUCACCUACUUCAAAGCCUGAACAGCGCAGAGGUGCUUCACAAUAACAAUAGCACUGGCUGCAGCCUGGAGGAGCUCCAUAACAGGAGCUCUGUAACCUGGCAAGACUCAGAGUUACGGUUACCAGAACAAUAUUUGGCAAGGGAAUUCUCCUGGUUCAUUUUUGUCAAAGGGAACAUAACGCCACUGGCAGGGAUAUGGUGCCAGCACGGCGCUGCGUUGGGUUCAGGCUGCAGUAGUGCCUGGCUUUUCUGGGCAGAGGGUUCAAUACCUAAUAGUAAUAAUAGUAAUAAUAAUCAUAUCACCAACAUCCACUCUGGGGAAGAAAGAAACCUUCUCUUGAGGUUUUCAGACAGCUGGCUGCCUCCAUGCCAUGCGUGCAGGAUGCCCGUGCUGAGCUCAUGUGAAGUUGAGGGUUAAGGUGGGGGGUAGGGUCAGGGCCCCACGUUAACCCAGAGUUUCUCUGGCUCCCGGCCCCACUCGGAGCUGCAGAGCCCUGCCGGUCCCUGCAGGGUAUUGCAUCUUCUCGGAGCUGUCCUAAUCCCCCCGUGUGACUCAGCGCUGUUAAAAUACCAAUGAGAAUAAUAAAAUGGGUUAUAAUGCUAUUAGGUAUUCCCCUUAGCUAUCCUGGCUACCCAAGGAGGAUGGAGUGGGAUGGGGAAGGGAGAGAGGAUGCAAUGGGCAUGGGCAAGGGAGGAUCCUGCAGCUGUCCAUUGGGCUGGAGCUAGGAUUUGGGGGAAGGAAGUGGCUUCUUGCCCGGGUUUUGUUCUGUGGAGGAUCCCCAGGUGGGGUGAUCCUACCCGCAGCCCCCCCCCCCCCCACCAGCCCCUGCCCUUUGCACAGAUGCCUAUGUCCACAAACCCCCCCUAAGCACUUAAUGAGCUCCGAGACGCCUAUUGUCUUGGCAAAGCUGAUUGAAACGGGCGAGGAGUUCAAGGGUUAGGAAGGGAGGGCUGUGUGGAGGCAGACACCCGGUGACACCAGGCUGCCCAGCCAGCAAAUGGGCUCUGCAGCAGCAUGGCACACACUGUGUCCAACACCCAUCACAUGCCAACAUACUGCUGGGUGCUGAGCCCAGACUGUGCGGCAGCUUAUCUGCCUUUAGCACAAAGCUGGGACGAAGUCUGCAUUGCCCAACGCAGAGCUGGAGUGGGCCUUGGACCCAGCCCUGUGUCAGCAGACCUCCCGGCCCUGCUCUGCUCGCUGACAGCCAGUGUUUUUUUACUCCUUGAGACUGUCAGGAAUGUUUUUCAUGCAGGAGUGUAGUGCAUUCAGCAUACUGAAACCGCCUUAAUCUCAGCAAGACCAACAAAGAUAAGGAAUAGCGUUUAAGUUGGCCGAAAUUAGCAAAUGCAUCUGCUGCACAAUGCCCCUGUUACCAUUAGCUGUGACCGGUGAAUGGCACUAGCAAAGUAUGCUGGCAAUGUUUAACAAACCAUCCGUCUUUUACCUGUUCCUACUCAACAGAAACCUUUGUUUGAACCACGGGCCUAUUCAGUCCUGCUGCUGUCUGCUUAUCAGCAAGAUUAAUCUCCGAGGUAUCACUAUAUUAAUUUUAAAACCUGCUUUUAUUACCACGAGUCCUCUGCUGGGGUGGAGAGGAGGUAUUUCUGCCCCUGCUGGGCAAGCUGGGCUCCGUGUUUGCCAAGCUCCACUGCCACCAUGACUCAUCCUUGCUACAUGCACCCAUGUCACAGUGCAAACACAUCCUGGCAGAUCUCUUGCCACAGGCCUCACGCUCUUUUUGGGAGGACAUACUUUCCAUAUCCAGCAUGCCUCGCAUCACCAAGGACAGUGGCUUGGUGUAGCAUCCCUGUGCCCUUCUGCUGCAGCAUCCCUGCUGCAGUGCGUCUCUACACAUCCCUAUUACAGCAUCCCCGAGAAUCCCUGUGCAUCCCUGCACAUCCCUACUACAGUGUCCCUGUGAAUCCCUGUGCAUCUCUGUGCAUCCGUGCUGCAGCAUCCCAGUGCAACCCUGUUGCAGCAUCCCCACAAAUUCGUGCACUCCCCUGCAGCAGUGCAUCCCUUUGCAUCCCUGCACAUCCCUACUGCAGCAUCCCUGUGAAUCCCUGUGCAUCCCUGCACACCUCUACCACAGAAUCCGUGUGCAACUCUGCACAUCUCUGUGCGUCCCUGCUGCAGCACCUCUGCAAAUCCCUGCUGCAACAUCCUUUUGCAUCCCAGAUGAAGCAUCCCUCCUGCAGCAUCCCUGCACAUCUAUGUGCAGCGUCUGCAUGUGCCCUGGCAGCAUCCCUGCUGCAGCAUCCCCACGGUGUCCAAGCAAAGCAGGUUGAGAAGCUGCCCCCAUGGCACAGAGGGGUGCAGGGGGGGAACCUGGUGUGGUUUGCCAUCAGGAUGGCAGCUGGGGCCAGCGCAGGCCCUGAAUUCCUGGCUGAGUGCUGUGCACACAGCGCUUAUCUUGCUCGGCUGUGUUUGUGCAGCAGGAGCCAGCCUGCACUGUGGGGUGAGGGACACGGCCGAGCACCCACAGAAGAACAUAGGGCAGUCCUGGGAAUCAAGUCUCUCCCAUCUUUAUGCACCGUGAGCAUUCUAGGGGUAAGGAGGGACAUGGGGGUCGGCACAGGGUGGUGUGGGACGCGGGACUGCUUCUCCUCACACCUUGUCCUCGCCAAUUUCCCUGCUCCAUGCCCUGGAAAAGCCACUGCAAAGCACAGUGCAUGCAUCCAGGCACCGUGAGGCUGCAGCAGGGCAGUGCAGGCAGGCAGCCUGCUGAUUCCCCGAGCCAAAGCUCUGACAAGGCUUUUCCAUGCCACACAUUCCGGGCGGUGUCUGCAUGGCGUGUCCUGGCUCUGCUUGGCAGCCAGCUGCCUCUGUGCAGACCACGGGCACUGGGACGUGCAGGACUUGAGCUCGCAGAGGGCACCCAGAAAGAAGAGGAUUUCCACCCCAGCAAGGGAGAAGCGGCCCCUUCCCCUUCCUCUGCCUAAGCUAACUCUUCUGCUAUGUCCAAUAACAGGCAGUCGGAAACCCUGCCUACACUGGCAGCAGACAGAGGCUUCCCUGUUUGGAUUCGAGAUGGGGAUUUCUGUGGCUGAAAGUACCUUUGUUAUUUUUCCAGGAAGGCUUCCUUUUUGGCUGGCUUCAACUCUGCAUAGGAUGCUCGCAGCAAAUUGACUGCCGUGAUGAAGAAGGAAAAAUAUUUAAACAAGCAAUUAUGAAUGAGCUUUGCUUGCUAACUCAGAAAGCAGUUUCCUAAGUUUAUAUAGAAAUGUAAGAGAUCUACCUUCCAGGUCCAAUCACAGCCUCAGGAGUUCUCCUCUUAGAUUAGAGCUUUGUGGCCAGCAUGAGCUAAAAGAGACUAAAGGGACUAAUCCUGGCCUAUCUCUGUGUGCAAACCGGGGUCGAACCUUCUCCCGCUUCCCCUUCUGCCUCUCUGUCCAGUGUGAGUUUUACGGAGCAGGAUUUUCCUCACCUGGCACUGUGGGGGCCCGAGCCAGUGGUGGGGUGACCUUGGCCAUUUCUCCAGAUGUGGCUCUGUCGCAUGAUACUACGGUUCCGGGCUCCCUAUACGUCCUUGAGAGCGUUAUCUGGGUGAGUCACCACUAGCCGGCCUCUGAAAUCUGUGACAUUUUUGGCAGUUCCCUCUUUAAUCUAAGAGGAGUAUGGAGCCAAGUGGCUCAGUCACCAUAUCUCAGCAAAAGGAGACUGAAAAGCUUAGGGCUGAAUUCAGGUUGGCUGAUAGGAACAGUUUAUUUCCUGAAAGAGCGGUGAGGCAGUGGCACAGCUGCCCAGGGAGUGGUGGGGUCACCGUCCCUGGAGGCAUCCCAAAGCUGUGGGGAUGUGGCACUGCAGGACGUGGUCAGUGGGCACGGUGGGGGUGAGCUGUGGUUGGACUCGGUUAUCUUUUCCACCUUCAUGAUUCUAUGACUCUAUGAUGGUUCUAUGAAUAGCUCAUUAAUUUCACGCUGCACACACUUCCAACCCAGAGGGAUGCUGAAGGAAGCCCAGGUUUGUGCAACCUUCUGCGAUGCCUGGCUGCACCUCCCUGCUGUGCUGGCAGCAUCGGCAGCUCCAGCCAUGUUUUCCUCCCCACACUACAUGAACACAGACAGGAGGUCCCCUCGGUGAGCUCACUGAUGCAAUUCUGUCAGCAUCCAACCCCGGCGAGGAGGAGUGAAAUGUGCUGUCAGUCUCUGCCCGAGUCAAGGGAAAGGUUCAAGCACCUUGAAGUUUGACUGUGAUUCUCGUUGAAGCCAGCACAAAUCAUCUUUGCACAGCAGCUUUAUGGAGGCCUGCUGACCUGCCUGGCCUUUACGCUGAGGGAUAGGUUUUUCUACUCAGUGCUGGCACAAACAACUGCAUUUAUUGGCCAAGCCAGACAACAGAAUAGCAGUGCCUUGCUGCUCUUAGGGAGGACGAGCAUUCUCAGUCUCCUUUGUAAUCAUGCCUUCAUACAACUGGUUCCCAAGCAGUGCAUCUAGAGUCAUAGAACCAUGGACACAUAGAAUCAUAGAAUCGUGGCAUCAUAGGAUCAUAGUAACAUAGACCCCUGGAAUCAUGGAAUCAUAGAUCCACAGAAUCAUAGACCCACAGAAUCAUAGACCCCUAGAAUCAUGGAUUCAUAGACCCCUAGAAUCAUAGAAUCAUAGAACCGUAGAAUCAUAGAAUCAUGGAAUCGUAGAACCAUAGGCUCACAGACCCAUAGAAUCAUGGAAUCAGAACCAUAGAACCAAAGAAUCAUAGAAUUGUUGGAGUUGGAAGAAACCUUCAAAGGUCACCUAGUCUAAUUCCCCUGCAAUGAACAGGGAAACCUGGGUGCAUCAGGGCAAACAAACUGGGAGAAGAAGCACGAUGCAGAAAACACGCUGCUGGCAGCCAGGACUGGGGGCGAGUAGUGCAGCCUGCAUUCCUCCCCGCACAUACAUUAUUCACUGGGGAUUAUUUGCUCAACCCCGAAGUGCGCGCACGCAUUGACAGCUGCUCGUGGAUACAAAGCAUUGCAUUGAGAUGCCCAAUAUGGAGCACAGGGCUUGGAUCUGGAGCUGGGAGCCCUGGGUUUUGUCUACAGGAGGGGAUAAAAGUGCCUGAACUGGGAUCUCCUGAGCAUGCGCUGCACCCAUGGGUGUUGCUCGGGUGUGCACACAGGGAUGCCUAUGUGCAUAUAUGCAGGGAUGCAUUCAGACAUGGAAGCAGGGACAUGCACACACAUAUAGACAGGGAUAUAUAUGCGUGUAGCUGUGGUUGAGGGCAAGUGGGACGAAAUCUUCAGGCGGGCCAUGAAACAGGGAGGCGUGAGCCAGGGCGCUCAUUAGUACCUGGGUAUGACUGCCGCUGACCUGAUGGCAAAUAUGAAAUAUCAAAGCGCUUGUCAGCACUCCUGAAUGGGACAAAGAAAAGGCGCAUUAAUGAUUAACUCCGUUAAAAGCUCAGGCUUUUUUAUUCCCAUGGCGCUCGGACUAUCUCGCUGCCAUGUGACAUGCUAGGGCCAUUUUCUAGCAGAUUGGGGAAAGCUAGUGAGCAAACACAGGUGCUUUAGAGUCAGCAGCGCUGUCAGGGACAACCACAAACAACACCAGCUAUGCCUGCCUAAAUUAGCUCCUGUGUUUGCCUCCAUUUUUGCUUCCUGGAGAUUUUACUUUCUAAGUCCAAUGUCUUUCGCUCCCGUCUUCAACUAUUCACACGCAGUGUUAAAGGGGAGAAAGAAAAGAGAAGAAAAGCGAAAACACACAGAGAGGCUCCUCUUUGAACCAGCCACAGUGCGUGGGGACCGCAUGCAGAAAGGCCCGAGUCAACUAAUUAAAAGGACUCAGCUCUUUAACUGCAAAAACAAAACACGUUUGUUGUGCUCAAGUGGAAUUAUUCGGGUGAUCCUCGGCAAACAACGAGCCCUGCAUGCAUGCGGUGCUGCUGCUUGCAAGCUCCAUGCCGACACCGCGGGUCCCAUCGGUGCCACUCGUGGAGGCUGUGUGUGACCUCUCCUCCACCGUGGUUCAGUGUGAAGGUCCCUCUAGCGGUAUUAUUUGUUUUCAUUUUUCCCUCCUUCCAUAGCCUGAAUGAGACAGACUUUCUUUUCCUGUUCAAAUAUUUAUAUAUGUGUGUUAUUGGGUUGUGCUCAAACUCCUUGCAAUCACACCGGGGCAAUAAAGAACAGACUAUCAGCGUGCGGUGAUAAAGGUAGUUGUGAGUAAACAGCAGAAAAUGAAAUAAAGUUAUAAAGAAGAAGGCCUGGGAUGGUAUAAAUGUCUACAAAUAAUCACAAUAUCAACCUGCUCAGUAUUCAAGCAAUUAAGGACAACAGGAGCAAAGCUGUGCUGGAGCUGUUCUGAAUUUACGUAGUCCCUGGUCCUCACAAAGUGAGCUCUGCAAGCAGUGGGAGAUUCUGGAGUUUGAAAUCAGCAUCUGGAUCUUGAACCAAGGACAUCCAUUGCAGAUGCAGUGUGCUUCACUUGGGGGGGGGGAUUAAAAUCUGUGUGUUUAGCGAGAUUACGCUUGAACUGGUCCCAAUUUAUUUUGCCAAAUUGAGCUGCAGCCAAUUUCUCUCCCAUGCGAUGAUGAAUAAAUAUCAUUAAAUAGGAGAAGAUGAAGGCGAUUGAUGCCCUUGUAUUAGCGGGAACUAACAUCGUGUGCUCGAGAAUGAAAGGACAAAAAUGGAGAGAUUUGGAUGCAAAUCAUUCAAAUGAGGAGGAUUAAGCAUGAGGGUACGAGGGAGAAUGGGGUCCAGAACACCAAAUGCUCAGAAGUGCAGGGAACUGCUCAGGAUUCAUUUCCCUUUGACCCAUUACUUUUGGUUUACAGGGAGCAAAAAUUCUUCCCUGUGCAGAAUGGUUUGAUUCGAGGCUGUUCUAGCAUAGGGCUGUCACUUGGAUCGUUUAUUAAACCGUCUUAAUGAUCACUUACUAAGAAAGCACACAGGUUGAUAUUUCCUACUAUGACACAGUCAUGGAAUCACGCAGGUUGGAAAAGACCACAAGGAUCCCCAAGUCCAACCAUCAACCCGUCCACACUGCACCCACUAUCCAACUAACCACGUCCCUCAGUGCCACGCUACGAUUCCCCCUUUUCCUGCAGUCACAAAGGAUCAUGCAUGGGGUUUUGCAGCAUGUGAAGGUUGGGGUCUGCACCCAGGGAAGUCAACCCUUGGUUCUUCAAGGCAGCAGUGUGGCUGCCCUGGCUGCCUUUUGUUUGCCAUCCCAUCCCAGCGCCAUUGGGUGUGCUUGCAGAUGGGCCCAGUUGGCUUUUUGCUGCCCUAUAAAACAGGAGGGAAAAAAAAAAUAAAAAAAAAAAGGAAGUGAUACUGUUGCAAUCAGCCCAGUGUGUGAUAAAGAUUUAUUACAGGGAGAAAGCAAAUAAAGGUAUGGUAGGAACUUCUUUAUUACCCGUAUCGUGAUCGCUUAUGUGAUCAGUGACCUGGAAUACAUUCAAAUUCAUGUUAAAUAAAAGCCUAAUAGAAUUUUUUUUUUUCCCCUGCAUUCUGGUGACAUGUGGUCAGCAGGAAGAGCAGCCAAUCGCUGUGUUUACCCACUUCCUGCUUUUCUGGAAAGUCAACAGUUUUUAAAGGCUUAGGCUGGCGUGGAAUUAAGAAACUUGCGCCGGUUUAACUAAGGUCGUUGGCGGACAAACGGGACGCAGGGGUGGCUUUGUGGAAGGGUUUUCCGUGCCAAGUUUGGCCUGUCCUGGGUUGUCUGCUGGGAGGAGGAGGAAGAAAAGGAGGAGAAGGAGGCCGGAGCCAGGGAUAGGUGUAGAGGUUGGUCCUGGUCGUGGCACCUUGGGGAGGCACCAAGUGGCUGGGGUCUUAUCAGCCCAACCUUGGAGAGCUUUCUUCUUCCAGUGGCUCAUCCAUCACUAGUUAACAGGGUACCCCUGUAAGGCUGCCUCUCUUUGUGCUGUAUCUUUAACCUCCCGCCAGUCAAUACCCUUUGUACACAUGUAUCUCGUUUCCUGAUAAUGCAUUGUAUUCCUUCGACCACCAAAAGCACUGGUGGGGUGGGAGAAACAGUUGUCUUAGAUAAAGAGCAAUUAGCACCUCCAGGGUCAGCCUGGAAUAUAUUGUUAAAGAAAAUGGGCCUGGAGGGAGGCUGGUGGAAUUCCUCCUGGCUGGAGAGAAUCAAAAAGGCUCCAGGUAAUUCCAAAGGAGCCUUUCUGGUGGGUGGUUGAUGUGGCCGUGCACCUCUAGCACCACACAAACCAGUUUCCUCAGGUCUCUGGGAAGAGCCAUGCAUCUUCAUUUAUAUGUUAAUUUGCAUUAAAUAAAUGUCACCAUAAACAAAUUGUAUCUCAGGAGAAGGUGGAAAACAUAUGGGUGUUUGCCAGCCAGGGGUUAUUAAUUUUAUACUUUCCAUCUGGAGUCUAUAAAGGGUCCAUUCGGAGAGCCAAUAAAGACCCAAGGUCGCGGCUGCAGCGCCACGGAAACCUUGCAGCUGGAGCACCUGCAGGCAUCUGCUGUUGUGGUGAAGGUGGCAGGGAGGGCCACAGCAAGAUGGGGACACUCCAUCGGUCCGGGAUAUCUCAGCAUGUAAAUGUCUAUGAAAAUCUGUUACUAGGAGGGCUUGUGCUCCUAAGUCAUUUGGGCAAGAUGGAGAAGUCAGCCCUGAACUCAAAGCAGAGCUCUGAUGUUUUGAUUGAUUUAUUUAUUCAUAUAUAUUUCUUUUUGCAGAAAGCUUCUUUACUUGUUGCUAGAUUAAGGGAAAGCUAAUUUAGUGCUAAUUUAGUGCUGCUGUGAAGAACAUUUUGGGGGAAAAGUUGCUGCGAAUUCAACACAAGUUGCCCCUGCUGUUCCUGUCUGGCCUUCCCAGAGCCUGUAAAAUGGGAAAAGGAUUUAAAUACCGGUUUUCCUUUUGUAAUUGGAAUAAAGUGGGUCUGAAAGUGAAUGGGACAACAGGGUGCAAAGUCCCUGCUCCCCAGCACUCAGGUUCUGGAUGGA
rnacentral:lncRNA from 1 species